GCCCGCCUAGCUCAAUCGGAUAGAGCGUCAGACUCUUAUACCCUUAGAGCCCUGUAGUGAUCUGAAGGCGACCCUCGCGGUGGGCU